rnacentral:rRNA from 1 species
GGUUAAGUGACUAAGCGUACAUGGUGGAUGCCUUGGCAGUCAGAGGCGAUGAAGGACGUACUAACCUGCGAUAAGCCGUGAGCAGUCGGUAAGAGACAUUACGACUCACGGAUUUCCGAAUGGGGAAACCCACUUAGCAUAAGCUAGGUAUCGCUGCGUGAAUACAUAGCGUAGCGAGGCGAACCGGGAGAACUGAAACAUCUAAGUACCCCGAGGAAAAGAAAUCAACCGAGAUUCCCUCAGUAGCGGCGAGCGAACGGGGAUUAGCCCUUAAGCAUCUUGGAAGUUAGUGGAACGGUCCUGGAAAGGCCGGCGAUACAGGGUGAUAGCCCCGUACACGAAAACAACCUUGAUGUGAAAUCGAGUAGGGCGGGACACGUGACAUCCUGUCUGAAUAUGGGGGGACCAUCCUCCAAGGCUAAAUACUCCUGACUGACCGAUAGUGAACCAGUACCGUGAGGGAAAGGCGAAAAGAACCCCUGUGAGGGGAGUGAAAUAGAACCUGAAACCGUGUACGUACAAGCAGUGGGAGCCCUUCGGGGUGACUGCGUACCUUUUGUAUAAUGGGUCAGCGACUUACAUUUUGUAGCGAGGUUAACCGUAUAGGGGAGCCGUAGGGAAACCGAGUCUUAACUGGGCGUCUAGUUGCAAGGUGUAGACCCGAAACCGGGUGAUCUAGCCAUGGGCAGGUUGAAGGUUGAGUAACAUCAACUGGAGGACCGAACCCACUAACGUUGCAAAGUUAGGGGAUGACCUGUGGCUGGGGGUGAAAGGCCAAUCAAACUCGGAGAUAGCUGGUUCUCCCCGAAAGCUAUUUAGGUAGCGCCUCGGACGAAUACUACUGGGGGUAGAGCACUGUUUGGGCUAGGGGGUCAUCCCGACUUACCAACCCCAUGCAAACUCCGAAUACCAGUAAGUAAUAUCCGGGAGACACACGGCGGGUGCUAACGUCCGUCGUGAAGAGGGAAACAACCCAGACCGCCGGCUAAGGUCCCAAAGUUCUGGUUAAGUGGGAAACGAUGUGGGAAGGCUCAGACAGCUAGGAUGUUGGCUUAGAAGCAGCCAUCAUUUAAAGAAAGCGUAAUAGCUCACUAGUCGAGUCGGCCUGCGCGGAAGAUGUAACGGGGCUCAAACCAGGCACCGAAGCCGCGGAUUCACGCUAAGCGUGAGUGGUAGGGGAGCGUUCUGUAAGUCUGCGAAGGUGUAUCGAGAGGUAUGCUGGAGAUAUCAGAAGUGCGAAUGCUGACGUAAGUAACGAUAAAGGGGGUGAAAAGCCUCCUCGCCGGAAGACCAAGGGUUCCUGUCCAACGUUAAUCGGGGCAGGGUGAGUCGACCCCUAAGGCGAGGCCGAAAGGCGUAGUCGAUGGGAAGCAGGUUAAUAUUCCUGCACGACUUGUAAUUGCGAUGGGGGGACGGAGAAGGCUAGGUGGGCCAGGCGACGGUUGUCCUGGUGAAAGUGCGUAGGUGGUGUUUCUAGGCAAAUCCGGAGACACAACACUGAGACACGAGACGAACACACUACGGUGUGGAAGCCAUUGAUGCCCUGCUUCCAGGAAAAGCCUCUAAGCUUCAGAUUACAAGUCAUCGUACCCCAAACCGACACAGGUGGUCGGGUAGAGAAUACCAAGGCGCUUGAGAGAACUCGGGUGAAGGAACUAGGCAAAAUAGAACCGUAACUUCGGGAGAAGGUUCGCUCUUGACAGUGAAGUCCCUUGCGGAUGGAGCAGUUGGGAGUCGCAGUGACCAGAUGGCUGGGACUGUUUAUCAAAAACACAGCACUCUGCAAACACGAAAGUGGACGUAUAGGGUGUGACACCUGCCCGGUGCCGGAAGGUUAAUUGAUGGGGUUAGCGCAAGCGAAGCUCUUGAUCGAAGCCCCGGUAAACGGCGGCCGUAACUAUAACGGUCCUAAGGUAGCGAAAUUCCUUGUCGGGUAAGUUCCGACCUGCACGAAUGGUGUAACCAUGGCCAUGCUGUCUCCACCCGAGACUCAGUGAAAUCGAAUUCGCCGUGAAGAUGCGGUGUACCCGCGGCUAGACGGAAAGACCCCGUGAACCUUUACUACAGCUUGGCACUGAACAUUGAACCUACAUGUGUAGGAUAGGGGAGGCUUUGAAGGCGUGACGCCAGUUGCGCUGGAGCCGUCCUUGAAAUACCACCCUUGUAUGUUUGAUGUUCUAACGCAGGCCCAUGAAUCUGGGUCGCGGACAGUGCCUGGUGGGUAGUUUGACUGGGGCGGUCUCCUCCCAAAGAGUAACGGAGGAGCACGAAGGUUGGCUAAUCCUGGUCGGACAUCAGGAGGUUAGUGCAAUGGCAUAAGCCAGCUUAACUGCGAGACGGACAGGUCGAGCAGGUACGAAAGUAGGUCAUAGUGAUCCGGUGGUUCUGAAUGGAAGGGCCAUCGCUCAACGGAUAAAAGGUACUCCGGGGAUAACAGGCUGAUACCGCCCAAGAGUUCAUAUCGACGGCGGUGUUUGGCACCUCGAUGUCGGCUCAUCACAUCCUGGGGCUGAAGUCGGUCCCAAGGGUAUGGCUGUUCGCCAUUUAAAGUGGUACGCGAGCUGGGUUCAGAACGUCGUGAGACAGUUCGGUCCCUAUCUGCCGUGGGCGUUGGAUGAUUGAAGGGAGUUGCUCCUAGUACGAGAGGACCGGAGUGAACGAACCUCUGGUGUUCGGGUUGUCACGCCAGUGGCACUGCCCGGUAGCUAAGUUCGGAAUCGAUAACCGCUGAAAGCAUCUAAGCGGGAAGCGAGCCCUGAGAUGAGUCAUCCCUGACCCCUUGAGGGUCCUAAAGGGCCGUUGGAGACCACAACGUUGAUAGGUGGGGUGUGUAAGCGCGGCGACGUGUUGAGCUAACCCAUACUAAUUACCCGUGAGGCUUAACCAU